rnacentral:lncRNA from 1 species
AGAAUUGAGAUUGAGAGAUUGAGAGCUUUAGGUUUUGAGAGAUUUUCCUAAAGUAAUAAAAGAGAGUGAUUCUUUUAUAUUUGAUCUUGAUCUUUUAAUCUUUGAUUCUAGAUUUGGUAUCAGAGCAAAACAAAACCUCAUACUAAUUGAAAGCAUACUUGAAAGCAUGAGCGAGAUUGUUCCUGUUACAAAACCGAGUGGAAGCUCCUCUUCCAUACAAUGUCCUAUGCUCUCCUCCUGCAACUAUACGGUUUGGGCCAUCAAGAUGAAAUCCUGUCUCAAAGUGCACAAAGCUUGGGACAUCAUUGAAACAGUGACAGAAGACGUCGAAAAGAAUGAUAUGGCAAUCGCUUUGCUAUUUCAAUCCAUACCCGAGUCGCUUGUUCUUCAAUUUGGUGGGCUUACUUCGGCGAAGCAAGUUUGGGAAUCGAUCCAAACAAAGUAUGUUGGAGCAGAGCGGGUUAAGGAGGCUCGUUUGCAAACCCUUAUGGCUGAGUUCGAUCGACUCACAAUGAAGGAAACAGAGAGCAUCGAUGACUUCAGCAGCAAACUUGCUGAGAUUGCUUCAAAGUCAUCCGCCUUGGGAGAGAUCAUCGAAGAGCCAAAGAUCGUGAAGAAGUUCCUUAAAAGUAUCCCUCGAAGAAAGUAUAUUCACAUUGUUGCAUCUCUUGAGCAAGUUCUCGACUUGAAUAAGACAAGCUUUGAGGAGAUUGUUGGUCGUCUGAAGGUGUACGAAGAGCGAGUGCGAGACGAUGACAUUGAUCAAGAUGAACAAAGCAAGCUUAUGUAUUCAAACGCUGAGAAUACAUACUAUUCCAGAGAUGGUAGCGGGGAUACAAGAGGACGUGGAAGAGGGAGUCGAGGUUCUUCAAGAGGACGAGGUCGUGGAAGGAAUGGUGGAAGAGAUUUGUCGCAAAUAACUUGCUUUCGAUGCGAUAAACUUGGCCACUAUGCUUCCUCAUGUCCUGAUCGCCUACUUAAGUUGCAAGAAGCACAAGAGAAUGAGAAGGUGGAUGCUAAAGACACACAAACAGCAGAUGAACUCAUGUUACAUGAGACAGCAGAUGAACUCAUGUUACAUGAGACUGUCUACUUGAAUGAGAAGCAUUGCGUGCCCAGCAAGUUUGAGACGAAUUCUGAUGAAGAAAACAUUUGGUACCUUGACAAUGGGGCAAGCAACCAUAUGACUGGAGAUAGACGGUAUUUUGAUUCAAUGGAUAGCUCAGUCACCGGAACAGUGAGGUUCGGAGAUGAUUCAAGAAUCGAUAUCAAAGGGAAAGGAACGAUUGCAUUUGUUGAUUUGCAUGGAACAUCAAGAAUGCUUACCGACGUAUACUUUAUACCUGACCUAAAAAGCAAUAUCGUCAGCCUUGGACAAGCUACGGAAUCCGGAUGCACCAUAGAACUCAAAUAAGAUUACCUAACUAUGUGUGACCGUGAGGGAAAGCUUCUAGUAAAGGCAAAAAGGUCCAAGAAUCGCUUGUACAAAGUCCGGAUGAUGCUACGAGACAAUGCGUGUUUGUAUCUAACAAGCAUGACCGAGACAAGUAAAUGGCAUGCUCGUAUGGGUCAUGUGAAUCUCACCACUUUAAAAGCAAUGUUGGACAAGGAAUUGGUUCUAGGAGUUCCAAACAUUACUAUUGAGAAAGAGGUGUGUAGCUCGUGUCUUCUCGGAAAACAGACCCGACAAGUUUUUCCACAAGCAACAAGCUAUAGAGCAACAAAACUUCUUGAACUAGUCCAUGGUGAUCUCUGUGGUCCAAUAACACCAAGUACAAGUGCUGGAAAUAGGUAUAUUUUUGUACUUAUUGAUGAUCACUCUCGCUACAUGUGGAGCAUUCUUCUAAAAGAAAAAGGAGAUGCUUUCUCUAAGUUCAAGAACUUUAAAACUAUGGUGGAGAAGGAAACGGGAGAGAAGAUUCAGACUUUUAGAACGGAUCGAGGAGGAGAAUUCGUGUCAAUAGAGUUUAACUCUUAUUGUGAGGAACAUGGCAUUAAAAGGCAUCUAACCGCUCCUUACACACCACAACAAAAUGGUGUAGUGGAAAGAAGGAACAGAACAAUGAUGGAGAUGACAAGAAGCAUGUUAAAACAUAUGCGAAUGCCUAACUACCUUUGGGGAGAAGCCAUUCGACACACGACUUAUCUCUUGAACCGGGUCUUAACACGAGCGCUUAAGGAACAAACACCAUAUGAAUCGUUUCGAUCAAAGAAACCUGAUGUCGAGCAUGUACGAAUCUUCGGGUGUAUCGCUUAUGCUAAGAUAGACAAGCCACACUUGAAGAAAUUGGAUGAUCGGACACGUAUUCUCAUACACCUAGGGACUGAGCCAGGUUCAAAGGCAUACCGCUUGCUUGACCCUAAAACAAGGAAAAUUGUGGUAAGUCGCGAUGUAGUGUUCGAUGAGACAAAGGGCUGGGAAUGGAACCAUGAUGAUGCAGNNNNNNNNNNNNNNNNNNNNNNNNNNNNNNNNNNNNNNNNNNNNNNNNNNNNNNNNNNNNNNNNNNNNNNNNNNNNNNNNNNNNNNNNNNNNNNNNNNNNAACUGGAAAUCAUGGCCUUCAUGAUUUUGGAGAAAGAAGUUGUACGAAUAAUCAAAUUGAACCAAGAAACGAGGAAGAAGAGGAAGAAGCAGAGGAUCAUGAUACUACAGAAGAAGAUGAAGCGGAGGAGAUAAGUAGUUCACCAAUUCUAAGAAGAUCACAGAGAGAAAGGAGAAUGCCAACUUAUCUUAACGAUUACUCUUUGCUACUUGAAAGGGAGUUAUCGUUACUUGCUCUUAAUGAUGAGCCAAGAAGUUUUCAAGAAGCUAAAGACUCUAAGGAAUGGUUACAUGCUUGUCAAGAAGAGAUUAACUCCAUAGAGAGGUUUAAGGUGUGGAAUCUGGUUGACAUGCCAAUAGGAGUCAAGCCAAUCAGACUGAAAUGGGUUUUUAAGAUAAAAAGAAACUCGGAUGGAAGUAUCAAUAAACACAAGGCUCGAUUGGUCGCAAAGGGGUAUGUUCAACAGUUUGGAGUUGAUUUCGACGAAGUAUUUGCUCCAGUAGCAAGAGUAGAGACGAUCAGAUUUCUUAUCAAGCUUGCAGCCGCACAUGGAUGGCAGAUACAUCACCUCGACGUAAAGACGGCCUUUCUUCAUGGAGAGCUUAAAGAAAAUGUGUAUGUUUAUCAACCAGAUGGUUUUGAGAUCAAGGGGAGUGAAGAGAAGGUGUACAAACUAAACAAAGCAUUAUAUGGUUUAAGACAAGCACCGAGGGCAUGGAACAACAAGCUUAAUAAACUUCUUGUAGAGCUGAAAUUUACCAAGUGCAGCAAGGAACCUACCGUAUAUCGAAAACAAGUUUGUGAGGAUCUCUUGAUCGUGGCUGUUUAUGUUGAUGAUCUCUUGGUCACAGGUACAAGCUUGGAAGUGAUAAGUCAGUUCAAAACAGAGAUGUCUUCUAGCUUUGAGAUGAGUGACCUCGGAGUAUUGUCAUACUACUUAGGAAUCGAAGUAAUACAAAACAAUGAGGGAAUUACUUUGAGUCAAACCCGAUAUGCACACAAGAUCUUGGAAGAAGCUGGUAUGAAAGACUGUAAUCUUGUGCAUACUCCGAUGGAAGUAGGUUUAAAAUUGUCCAAGUCACAACACGAGAGAGAAGUUGAUGCAACGACUUAUCGGAAACUCGUCGGAUGCUUUAGAUAUCUGUUGCACACAAGACCAGACCUAUCAUAUGCUGUGGGAGUCUUAAGUAGAUAUAUGCAAAGUCCUAGGGAGUCACAUUCAGCAGCAAUGAAGCAUUGUCUUAGGUAUCUCAAAGGAACAACAUCGCUUGGUUUAGUUUACAAAAGAUGCACAAGCAUACCCAAUCUCGUUGGCUAUAGUGACAGUAGUCAUAAUGUUGAUCCGGAUGAUGGUAAAAGCACGGCUGGUCAUGUGUUCUACUUUGGAGAUAGUCCAAUAUCAUGGUGUUCACAAAAGCAAGAGACUGUUGCAUUAUCUUCAUGUGAAGCGGAGUUUAUGGGAGGAACCGAGGCAGCCAAGCAAGCCAUUUGGCUAGGAGAUCUUCUAAGUGAAAUCACAGGAAACUUGAGUGAGAAGGUAACCAUACGGAUAGACAACCGAUCCGCCAUUGCUAUCACUAAAAAUCCGGUGUUUCAUGGGCGUAGUAAGCACAUCUAUAGGCGUUAUCACUUCAUAAGGGAGUGUAUUGAAAAUGGCCAAAUUGAUGUUGAACAUGUUCCGGGGAGUGAGCAAAAGGCGGACAUUUUAACUAAGGCACUUGGAAGAAUCAAGUUCAAGGAAAUGAGAGAGCUCAUUGGAGUUCAAGACUUGAAGAGUGAUGAGAUCAAGCUUAAAGGGGAGAAUGUUGACUUAAGCUUGAAGUAAGCUUGGAGUGCAAGCAUAAGAAGAUUAGGAUUAGGUUUUAUAUAUUUAGGAGUUUAUCUAAAUAUAUGUUUUGGUGUUAUCUCCUAAUUAGAAUAGGAGUUAUAGACUAAUUCUUUUCUUAUAUAAGGAGAUGUCAAGGUGUGACAUAACUUGUGAGAAUUGAGAUUGAGAGAUUGAGAGCUUUAGAUUUUGAGAGAUUUUCCUAAAGUAAUAAAAGAGAGUGAUUCUUUUAUAUUUGAUCUUGAUCUUUUAAUCUUUGAUUCUAGACCCAACAUAUCAUCGCACUGGAUUGUGGAGAUAUUGAGAUUGCUAGUAACGAUAGUAACACUCGACCAUUUUGUUCUCGAUGCUCUCGACGUUGCAUAGAACCUGUGGUGUAUAGGAGGGAAAAUGAAUAUUUUUGUACUUUGAUUUGUACGAUGUAGUGAAGCAAGAAACACUUACAUGAGAUCAUGUAACUUGUAUGAGAGAGAUCAAGCUUGUACCAAGGAAAAUAUUUGUUUGAAUAUUUAAUUUCUAAAUUAAAUGUGUAAUAUUUUGUGAGAUCAUGUUUGAGUAUUUGAUCCAAAACUUUUCUGGAAUCUUAGGCAACAACAUCUUCCUUGCCACCUAUUUCUUUUGGUUGAUAUGGAAGAACAUAUAUGGUUCCAUGGUUUGAUUAUGUUUAUUUAUCAUGUUUAUUUAUUUUCACAACAAA